ensembl:lncRNA
GGAAUUGAAGAAUAGAAGGGAAAAAAAAAAAAAAAAAAAAAAAAGCAGACCAAAUAUUUGCAUCACUUCCAUCACUUGGCUGUUACCCGUUGUGGAGAACAGGAGAAGUGCCUGAGAACUAGAGGAAAGCCAAAGUCACUCCAGACUUCAAAGAGGGCAAGGAGGAGCCAGGAAACUACAGGCCAGUCGGCCUCACCUCUGCCCCCGGGAAGGUGGUGGAACAACUUAUUCUGGAUGUCAUCUCCAACUAAAAGCGGAAGAAUUCCCAUGACUCUGUGAUUGAUCUGGAAGGUUUCUUCUCCUUCUUCUGUGUAUGGAUAUCCCACACUUGCUUACAGUGAAAGAGCCUGAAGCAAUACCCUGAAGUAUUCACUGUAUCCAAGGACCAUAUUUCAG